AAGUAUAAAGUAAAAAAUUACACUUAAUUUCGACUUAAAAAUUAACUUUAAAUAGUUUGUACUUA
rnacentral:tRNA from 1 species